GAUAAGUCUGUGGUGAAAUCCUAUGGCUUAACCUUAGAAUUGCCUCGGAAACUGUUUUACUUGAGUCAGCGAGGGGAUGGUAGAAUUCCUGGUGUAGCAGUGAAAUGCGUAGAUAUCCGGAGGAAGGCCGGUGGCGAAGGCGGCCAUCUGGCGCUGAACUGACGCUGAGGCGCGAAAGCGUGGGUAGCAAACAGGAUUAGAUACCCUGGUAGUCCACGCCCUAAACGGUGGGCAUUAGGUGUAGGGCUCGUAUGGGUUCUGUGCCGAAGGGAAACCAUUAAAUGCCCCGCCUGGGAAGUACGGCCGCAAGGUUAAAACUCAAAGGAAUUGACGGGGGCCCGCACAAGCGGUGGAGCAUGUGGUUUAAUUCGACGCUACGCGAAGAACCUUACCUGGGCUUGACAUGUUAGUGGUAAGAACCUGAAAAGGCGAUGACCUGUAGCAAUACAGGAGCUAACACAGGUGCUGCACGGCUGUCGUCAGCUCGUGUCGUGAGAUGUUGGGUUAAGUCCCGCAACGAGCGCAACCCUUAUCCUCUGU
rnacentral:rRNA from 1 species